rnacentral:rRNA from 1 species
AUUGAACGCUGGCGGCAGGCCUAACACAUGCAAGUCGAGCGAGCGGCGGACGGGUGAGUAAUGUCUGGGAAACUGCCUGAUGGAGGGGGAUAAAUACUGGAAACGGUAGCUAAUACCGCAUACCAUCAGAUGUGCCCAGAUGGGAAUAGCUAGUAGGUGGGGUAACGGCUCCCCUAGGCGACGAUCCCUAUCUGGUCUGAGAGGAUGACCCGCCACACUGGAACUGAGACACGGUCCAGACUCCUACGGGAGGCAGCAUUGGGGAAUAUGGCACAAUGGGCGCAAGCCUUAUUCAGCCAUGCCGUGUGUGUUAAGAAGGCCUUCGGGUGGUAAAGCACUUUCAGCGGGGAGGCGUUACCCUCAGAAGAAGCACCGGCUAACUCCGUGCCAGCCGCCGCGGUAAUAC